rnacentral:rRNA from 1 species
GUGGGGAAUAUUGGACAAUGGGCGAAAGCCUGAUCCAGCCAUGCCGCGUGUGUGAAGAAGGUCUUCGGAUUGUAAAGCACUUUAAGUUGGGAGGAAGGGCAGUAAGUUAAUACCUUGCUGUUUUGACGUUACCGACAGAAUAAGCACCGGCUAACUUCGUGCCAGCAGCCGCGGUAAUACGAAGGGUGCAAGCGUUAAUCGGAAUUACUGGGCGUAAAGCGCGCGUAGGUGGUUUUGUAAGUUGGAGGUGAAAUCCCCGGGCUCAACCUGGGAACUGCCUCCAAAACUACAUGACUAGAGUACGGUAGAGGGUAGUGGAAUUUCCUGUGUAGCGGUGAAAUGCGUAGAUAUAGGAAGGAACACCAGUGGCGAAGGCGACUACCUGGACUGAUACUGACACUGAGGUGCGAAAGCGUGGGGAGCAAACAGGAUUAGAAACCCCAGUAGUCC